rnacentral:rRNA from 1 species
CACGUAGGGGGCAAGCGUUGUCCGGAUUUAUUGGGCGUAAAGAGCUCGUAGGUGGUUCGGUAAGUCGGGUGUUAAACCCCCAGGCUCAACCUGGGGACGCCACUCGAUACUGCUGUGACUAGAGUCCGGUAGGGGAGCGUGGAAUUCCUGGUGUAGCGGUGAAAUGCGCAGAUAUCAGGAGGAACAGCCAGCGGCGGAAGGCGGUUCUCUGGGACGGUACUGACGCUGAGGAGCGAAGCGUGGGGAGCGAACAG